rnacentral:misc_RNA from 1 species
AAGUCGUAACAAGGUUUCCGUAGGUGAACCUGCGGAAGGAUCAUUAACACGUAUCCAACGUUAAAACCCCCCCCGUGAACCUUCAGACGUGCUCUGGUAGCCCACACGGCAUAGCAAUUCCUGGUAAAUCAUUGUCGGAAAUAGAUUUUGAGUCAGGAACUUCUGUCCGGUGAGAUAUACUACAGUUACCAUAGAAGCGCUAGUUCUAUCGGCAUUGUUUCCCUAAGCAGUCAGUGGCGUGAAAGUGGUCAACUGAUUGUGGAAGGAUAACGCUUAACGAUUUCGCAGCCGCUUCACGCGGGCGGAGCUUUGCCAAAGGGAUAUUAAAAAGCUCCAUUUUCAAUUAUGGAUGGGGUAAAACCGAACAACUGUUAACAAUGGAUAUCUUGGUUCUC